CUCGGGUGACGAGUGGCGGACGGGUGAGUAAUGUCUGGGAAACUGCCUGAUGGAGGGGGAUAACUACUGGAAACGGUGGCUAAUACCGCAUAACGUCGAAAGACCAAAGAGGGGGACCUUCGGGCCUCUUGCCAUCAGAUGUGCCCAGAUGGGAUUAGCUUGUUGGUGAGGUAACGGCUCACCAAGGCGACGAUCCCUAGCUGGUCUGAGAGGAUGACCAGCCACACUGGAACUGAGACACGGUCCAGACUCCUACGGGAGGCAGCAGUGGGGAAUAUUGCACAAUGGGCGCAAGCCUGAUGCAGCCAUGCCGCGUGUAUGAAGAAGGCCUUCGGGUUGUAAAGUACUU
rnacentral:rRNA from 1 species